rnacentral:lncRNA from 1 species
AAAAAAUUGCUGCAUGAGUAAAGGAAAAAAGAUAGCAGGUUGAAUAUUGCAAAGAAAUUCAAAUGAUAUCCACAUAUCUUUUUGUUCUGAAAUAAUAAAAAUAGGAUGCCUCAGAGAAUGCAGAUCCCAUAACUAAUCCUAUUAUAAACCACUUGCAGAUCUAAACAAACUAUAAAUAAGCAAGAAACAAAGGGCCAUAUCUAAUCCUAUUAUAAACCCACUUGCAAAUCUAACCAAACUAUAAGUACCAGCAAGCGGUACACUGACAGCCACAUUUCCUGAUGACAUGUUUUGAC